rnacentral:rRNA from 1 species
GACGAACGCUGGCUGCGUGCUUAACACAUGCAAGUCGAACGCUGAAGCUCUGGUGCUUGCACCGGGGUGGAUGAGUGGCGAACGGGUGAGUAACACGUGAGUAACCUGCCCCUGACUUCGGGAUAAGCCCGGGAAACUGGGUCUAAUACCGGAUAUGACCGUUCCUCGCAUGAGGGAUGGUGGAAAGUUUUUUCGGUUGGGGAUGGGCUCGCGGCCUAUCAGCUAGAUGGUGGGGUAAUGGCCCACCAUGGCGACGACGGGUAGCCGGCCUGAGAGGGCGACCGGCCACACUGGGACUGAGACACGGCCCAGACUCCUACGGGAGGCAGCAGUGGGGAAUAUUGCACAAUGGGGGAAACCCUGAUGCAGCGACGCAGCGUGCGGGAUGACGGCCUUCGGGUUGUAAACCGCUUUCAGCAGGGAAGAAGCCACCUUUGGUGGUGACGGUACCUGCAGAAGAAGUACCGGUCUAA